ACCAGCUCUAAUUCCAGAAUGUGUUCAUUACCCCAAAAGGAAACACUGUACCCAUUAAGCAGUUACUCUGUAUUCCCCUCUUCCCUAAUCCCUAGCAAACGCCAUUCUGCUUUCUGUCUCUAAUUUGAGCCAACAUCGAGGAAGAGUACUCUGUACAAUUGAAAUUGCAGAAAAAACUUUGGGAUGUGAUUGUUAGGAAUAAAAAACCACCUAAUUCUUUGCAUGCUUCUCUAAGUACAGUAGACAUGCUGCCAGGGACUCUUUAUGGAAGAAAAGUUGAGACUCAUAGAAGUUUGCAGUUUUGUUUUGAUCACCCCAGAGGGUUUUGCUCAAACUCUUAGACUCAUUUGUAUUUCUUCAUUGGUUAUCUUAAAUUCAAAAUGGUACUUUAUCUAAUUGAAUUGAAAUCUUAAAAUUUAUGAGAAACAAAAGUCACUUUAUGUUCUUAGUAAAUAUUUCUAAUGGGGUUAUAGGAGAUCUAAGUACAAAAAAAAUUUAAAAUUUUGUUAUUAAUCUCCCCUCCUUAAGGAAAAUUUUAUUAAUAUACAUAAUUAUAACAGCCUCCCAAGUCUGGUCUCGAACUUCUCGGCUCAAGCUAUCUAUCUGCCUCAGUCUCCCAAACUGCUGGGAUUAGUCAUGAGCCACCGUGCCUGGCUGUGACCCAUUUUAGAUGACAAAAACUAAUUUUCAAUGCUAAUACGAAUUGGUUGUUAAAGGUGAAUAUAAUUAAACUGAACAUUAUUGGCAUCCUAAAUCCUUUAUUGGCCAUAAUUUACCUUUGGAUUCUAUUCAAACUACACUUUGAUCUGUAGAACCCAAAUUGGUUACUAUAUGAACUUGCAUCUUCCUAAACUCAUCAUGUUAAAAAUUUUCACAGCUUGAAAAAUGGAGGUCCUCAUAUCAGUCUCUUGAUUUUCUUUUGAGGUAAGCUGUCCCUCUGUGCUUAGUCCUUGACUAAAAAUAAUCGUACUGCUUAUGGUCUUGAUUUGACUUUUCUGUAUACUGGUUACACUGGCUCAAAAGUCCAUUUUUGUGGAGACUCUUAAAAAGUAGUAGUCUUCCACAUUCAAGUACUGUACUUGAAAAAAAAAAACCUGGAUUUCAGCUUUCAUUUAGAAAUGCUUUCCCUGUAAUUACUACUUUUAAAACCCAUAUUUUAUAUGUCAAUUUUUACAUUAAUUACCCCAUUGAUAGCAGUUUUUGAAUGGUUUUAGUUAAAACUGUCAAUCUUCUUUGCUUGAAUCUAGCCUCUCAUUAAGUUUAUCAAAAACUUUAAAAAGUAAAUGUAAGACUCUUCAUAUAGUGUUUUUUUUUUAAUUGAGUUAUGGAUUCUUUGGAUUUAUUCAUUAUCUGAGUUAGUUUUUUCAGAAAUGUCUUCUUAUUUUGUAGGUCUGUGGUUGAUGAAAACCUGUUCAUGAGGGCACAAAAGACUCUUCCAGUUUAUUCUAUCACUAUAAAAUAGAAUUUGAUGGAUUUCGAAGUAAGUAGUACAGAUAAUAUUCUUACAAAGGCAUCCAUAAAUAGUGAAGUGGUAGCACCUAUUCCCCCAUGAUUGACAUUCAUUAAUUAAUCCAUUG
rnacentral:lncRNA from 10 species